rnacentral:tRNA from 1 species
ACCUGGGUGGCUCAGCCGGUUGAGCAUCCGACUUUGACUCAGGUCAUGAUCUUGCGGCUUGUGGGUUCGAGCCCCACAUCAGGCU